rnacentral:rRNA from 1 species
AUGGCGAGUCCAUGGGUCCGUGCCUCCUUCACCGGCUGGCCCGACAGGGGUAGGAGGUGGGGAACAACAUCAAAAGGACAUGUGGGCCAACGGGACAGAGAGAAAAAUAAUCUCGAAACUCUCAAGACUAUUUUGCUUGAUUAUGAAAAGGCCUCAGGACAAAAGGUGAAUAUGCAAAAAUCAUCUAUCUUUUUUGGGAAAGGCAGCACUGAUGAGAACAAGGAACAGCUAAAGGAGGUCAAUGGAAUUCAAUCGAAGGCGUUAAGUGAAAAAUAUUUGGGUCUUCCUACCGUGGUAGGGAGUUCUAAAGAAGGAACCUUCAAAUAUGUUAAAGAGAGCGCUAAAGGCAAAGUGACGGCAUGGAAAGGGCAAGGGUUAUCUAAGAGAUCUCGUGAGGUGUUGGUCAAGUCCGGGCUACAAUCCACUCCAACUUUCACCAUGAGCUGCUUUCAACUCACCAAAAAAUUGUGCGGGAACCUGACUUCGAUCUCUUCAAACUUUUGGUGGGGGGAAGCUAACGGUGAAAAAAAGGUCCAUUGGAUAGCCUAG